rnacentral:tRNA from 1 species
GUUGUCGUGGCCGAGUGGUUAAGGUGAUGGACUAGAAAUCCAUUGGGGUUACCCCACUCAGGUUCAAAUCCUGCCGAUAACG